ACUCCUACGGGAGGCAGCAGUGAGGAAUAUUGGUCAAUGGGCGAGAGCCUGAGCCAGCCAAGUCGCGUGAAGGAAGAAGGAUCUAUGGUUCGUAAACUUCUUUUGCAGGGGAAUAAAGUGCAGGACGUGUCCUGUUUUGUAUGUACCCUGAGAAUAAGGAUCGGCUAACUCCGUGCCAGCAGCCGCGAUAAUACGGAGGAUCCGAGCGUUAUCCGGAUUUAUUGGGUUUAAAGGGUGCGUAGGUGGUUUGAUAAGUCAGCGGUGAAAGUUUGCAGCUUAACUGUAAAAAUGCCGUUGAAACUGUCGGACUUGAGUGUAAAUGAGGUAGGCGGAAUGCGUGGUGUAGCGGUGAAACGCAUAGAUAUCACGCAGAACUCCGAUUGCGAAGGCGCUUACUAAGCUACAACUGACGCUGAGGCCGAAAGCGGGGGAUCAACAGGAUUAGAUACCCUGGUAGC
rnacentral:rRNA from 1 species